GGUUAAGCGACUAAGCGUACACGGUGGAUGCCCAGGCAGUCAGAGGCGAUGAAGGACGUGCUAAUCUGCGUAAAGCGACGGUAAGGUGAUAUGAACCGCUACAGCCGUCGAUGUCCGAAUGGGGAAACCCGGUGCACUCUGUGCAUCAUUGCAGCAUGAAUACAUAGUGCUGCAAGGCGAACCGGGGGAACUGAAACAUCUAAGUACCCCGAGGAAAAGAAAUCAACCGAGAUUCCCCCAGUAGCGGCGAGCGAACGGGGAGCAGCCCAGAGCCUGAAUCAGUUUGUGUGUUAGUGGAAGCGUCUGGAAAGUCGCAGGGUACAGGGUGAUACUCCCGUACACAAAAGCACACA
rnacentral:rRNA from 1 species